UACAGAGGUCUCAAGCGUUGUUCGGAUUCAUUGGGCGUAAAGGGUGCGUAGGCGGCGCGGUAAGUCGGAUGUGAAAUCUCGGGGCUUAACUCCGAAACUGCAUUCGAUACUGCCGUGCUUGAGGACUGGAGAGGAGACUGGAAUUUACGGUGUAGCGGUGAAAUGCGUAGAUAUCAGGAGGAACACCGGUGGCGAAGGCGGGUCUCUGGACAGUUCCUGACGCUGAGGCACGAAGGUCAGGGGAGCAAACGGG
rnacentral:rRNA from 1 species